UGGUUCAGAUGGUAAAGCAUCUGCCUGCAAUGCAGGAGACCCGGGUUCGAUCCCUGG
rnacentral:tRNA from 1 species